rnacentral:rRNA from 1 species
UACGGAGGGGGCUAGCGUUGUUCGGAAUUACUGGGCGUAAAGCGCACGUAGGCGGCUUUGCAAGUUAGAGGUGAAAGCCCGGGGCUCAACCUCGGAACGGCAUUCGAUACGGGACGGCUGGAGACCGGGAGAGGAGAGUGGAAUAGCCAGUGUAGAGGUGAAAUUCGUAGAUAUUGGCUGGAACACCGGUGGCGAAAGCGGCUCUCUGGCCCGGUUCUGACGCUGAGGCGCGAAAGCGUGGGGAGCAAACAGG